GCACACAUUCCAUGCAAACACCCCAAAGCACUUUCUAAGUGAUUUUACCAUUUUCCCUACUUCUCUCUUCUCCUCAAAUUUGCACCUCUUCAAACAUAACCCAUAAAAGAAUUUCCCUUGAUGUCGAGCCGGCUCGCCAAAAGUCAAUUUUGGAGAAAUUACUUAAGCCAAUCAAAUCAAAUGAUUUCUCCAUCUGUAAAAUGGGAGGACGAACAAAUUAAAACAAAAGGUCGUUUUCCAUGGGACUCUCAGGUUUUUCAAAGGAUCGACUAUGAAUCAAUUUGAAUACAAGAACAAGAACUAUUAUAAUUACAGGAGAAAAAUCAUAUGGGUUAUUCAAUAUUAUUCGUUUGAAUGAACGGAUACCAAUCAAACAGGGAUGCUCGUUAGAUUGGGUACAAGCAGAUUGGUCCGGUGACACUCUUAUUGUCACAUUUCAGAAGGAACAUUAUAAAUUUUUAUUUUCACACAAAUCAUGAAUUACUCCAUGUACGAAUAAAGAUCAACUUCCAUUGUCACAAUACAGUUGGUCAUGUGUAUAGAAACUUAUAUCCAUAUUGUAAUUCAAAUUAUGUAUGAAUGUUAGUGUAUGUACAUUGUAACCACUCUCCAACAUUUACGUACUCAUGUGCUUGUACAAGAAAUUUCACUAUGUUGUUUAUUUAAAAGUGAAUAUUUAUAUA